UGGUGACUGCGGAGGGAUCAUUACGAGUUUUUACAACUCCCAACCCUUCUGUGAACCUACCUAUCUGCUUCGGCGGACUCGCCCCAGCGUCCGGACGGCCCCGCGCCGGCCCGCGACCUGGACCCAGGCGGCCGCCGGAGGCCCUACAACCCUGUAUCCAUCAGUCUCUGAAUCCGCCGCAAGGCAAACAAAUGAAUCAAAACUUUCAACAACGGAUCUUGGUUCUGGCAUCGAUGAAGAACGCAGCGAAACGCGAUAAGUAAUGUGAAUUGCAGAUUAGUGAAUCAUCGAAUCUUUGAACGCACAUUGCGCCCGCCAGCAUUCUGGCGGGCAUCUGUUCGAGCGUCAUUUCAACCCUCGACGUCCCCUGGGGGUCGGCCUUGGGGACCGGCAGCACACCGCCGGCCCUGAAAUCGUGGCGGCCCGUCCGCGGCGACCUCUGCGCAGUACUCCAGCUCGCACCGGGCCCGACGCGGCCACGCCGUAAAACACCCAACUCUGCGUUGACCUCGGAUCAGGUAGGACUACCCGCUGAACUUAAGCAUAUCAAUAGCGG
rnacentral:rRNA from 1 species